GACGAACGCUGGCGGCGUGCUUAACACAUGCAAGUCGAACGGAAAGGCCCUGCUUUUGUGGGGUGCUCGAGUGGCGAACGGGUGAGUAACACGUGAGUAACCUGCCCUUGACUUUGGGAUAACUUCAGGAAACUGGGGCUAAUACCGGAUAGGAGCUCCUGCUGCAUGGUGGGGGUUGGAAAGUUUCGGCGGUUGGGGAUGGACUCGCGGCUUAUCAGCUUGUUUGUGGGGUAGUGGCUUACCAAGGCUUUGACGGGUAGCCGGCCUGAGAGGGUGACCGGCCACAUUGGGACUGAGAUACGGCCCAGACUCCUACGGGAGGCAGCAGUGGGGAAUAUUGCAGAAUGGGCGGAAGCCUGAUGCAGCAACGCCGCGUGCGGGAUGACGGCCUUCGGGUUGUAAACCGCUUUCGCCUGUGACGAAGCGUGAGUGACGGUAAUGGGUAAAGAAGCACCGGCUAACUACGUG
rnacentral:rRNA from 1 species